GAGUUUGAUUAUGGCUCAGGACGAACGCUGGCGGCGUGCUUAACACAUGCAAGUCGAACGGAGCUGUUUAUUUCGGUAGAUAGCUUAGUGGCAAACGGGUGAGUAACGCGUAGGCAACCUGCCCUUAGGAUGGGGACAACGGCCCGAAAGGACCGCUAAUACCGAAUGGACUCUAACUUUCGCAUGAAAGAAAGAGGAAAGAUGGUGCAAGCCAUCGCCGAAGGAAGGGCCUGCGUCUGAUUAGCCAGUUGGUGAGGUAACGGCUCACCAAAGCGACGAUCAGUAGCCGGUCUGAGAGGAUGAACGGCCACAACGGGACUGAGACACGGCCCAUACUCCUACGGGAGGCAGCAGUGGGGAAUCUUCCGCAAUGGGCGAAAGCCUGACGGAGCAACGCCGCGUGAGUGAAGAAGGUCUUCGGAUCGUAAAGCUCUGUUGUUGGGGACGAAAGGGAAGGGGAGGAAAUGCCCUUUUAAGA
rnacentral:rRNA from 1 species